CCUACGGGGUGCAGCAGUGGGGAAUAUUGGACAAUGGGCGAAAGCCUGAUCCAGCCAUGCCGCGUGUGUGAAGAAGGCCUUCGGGUUGUAAAGCACUUUCAGAGGGGAAGAAAGCCUUGGGGCUAAUACCCUCGAGGAAGGACAUCACCCACAGAAGAAGCACCGGCUAACUCCGUGCCAGCAGCCGCGGUAAUACGGAGGGUGCGAGCGUUAAUCGGAAUUACUGGGCGUAAAGCGCGCGUAGGCGGUCUGAUAAGCCGGUUGUGAAAGCCCCGGGCUCAACCUGGGAACGGCAUCCGGAACUGUCAGGCUAGAGUGCAGGAGAGGAAGGUAGAAUUCCCGGUGUAGCGGUGAAAUGCGUAGAGAUCGGGAGGAAUACCAGUGGCGAAGGCGGCCUUCUGGACUGACACUGACGCUGAGGUGCGAAAGCGUGGGUAGCAAACAGGAUUAGAUACCCGAGUAGUC
rnacentral:rRNA from 1 species